rnacentral:lncRNA from 1 species
AUCUGUAUGUUAGUAACUGUGUUGAACAACCUUUAUUCAUGGGGGAAUUUAUGAUGUGUUGGCUAACUGACUUCUAUACUGUUGAUACGAUUGUUGUCAGUAUAACAGGCCUGAUGCAUAACAUAGGAAACACUGUUGAUAUGGUUGUUGUCAGUGUUGCAGAUGUUAUGCAUAACAAUCUUAUUAGUUCUUGGUUUAACAAUCGCUCAUUAUUACUAUUGACAAGUAUUGAAAUCUUUUGUCGAGCUUUUAUUUUUUAAAUCAGAAUAGUCAUGAAUUCUUUUAUAUUCAUAUCUUUAGACUUGUUGAGCAAAUUGUGCUCAUUCUUGCAAAUAUUUUUCAUUUGCAGUUAAAGAAUAAUUACUAGAAUGGUCUAGCAGUAAGAGGAAAUGAAAGAAAAGAAAUUAGGUUAAGAAUCAUAUAAUUAUGG